UACGAAGGGGGCUAGCGUUGUUCGGAAUCACUGGGCGUAAAGCGCACGUAGGCGGAUUGUUAAGUUGGGGGUGAAAUCCUGAGGCUCAACCUCAGAACUGCCUUCGAUACUGGCAAUCUCGAGUCCGGAAGAGGUUGGUGGAACAGCUAGUGUAGAGGUGAAAUUCGUAGAUAUUAGCUAGAACACCAGUGGCGAAGGCGGCCAACUGGUCCGGUACUGACGCUGAGGUGCGAAAGCGUGGGGAGCAAACAGG
rnacentral:rRNA from 1 species